rnacentral:lncRNA from 1 species
ACGGGAAAGGACUAAUUACAACACUGGUAACACCCGUCUCUCUCUCUCUCCUCCACCCUCUAGACGCCAUAAUUAUCUCCAUAACCAUCGGGAAUCACCAAACAUAUCCCUACUUCUGAAGCUUUCUUGUAGUCACUGGGCCUCCACGGUGGGGGCGCGGGAGGUGUUCACGCGCGGCGGCGGAGGGAUAGAGGUGGGGGAGGCGGGGGUGUGGCUGUGGGAACUCGUCCUGUGGAGACGGCACUUGAAGGAACCCGCGUGGGUGGUCGGAGCGCACACGCACUUCGGGACGGCCCCCUGGCCGCAGGCGGAUGAGUUGGAGGACCAAGUCCUCCGAACUCC